rnacentral:siRNA from 1 species
CAAGCUGGAAAUUCCAGACAA